rnacentral:ncRNA from 7 species
GUUUUAGAGCUAGAAAUAGCAAGUUAAAAUAAGGCUAGUCCGUUAUCAACUUGAAAAAGUGGCACCGAGUCGGUGCUUUUUU